rnacentral:rRNA from 1 species
GCAAGUCGAGCGCAUCCUUCGGGCUUAGUGGCGCACGGGUGCGUAACGCGUAAGAACCUGCCUUUCGGUUCGGAAUAACAGUUGAAAACGACUGCUAAUACCGGAUAAUGACUUCGGUCCAAAGAUUUAUCGCCGAAAGAUGGGCCCGCGUUAGAUUAGCUAGUUGGUGGGGUAAAGGCCUACCAAGGCGACGAUCUAUAGCUGGUCUGAGAGGAUGAUC